GAUGAACGCUGGCGGCGUGCCUAAUACAUGCAAGUCGAGCGAACAGACGAGGAGCUUGCUCCUCUGACGUUAGCGGCGGACGGGUGAGUAACACGUGGAUAACCUACCUAUAAGACUGGGAUAACUUCGGGAAACCGGAGCUAAUACCGGAUAAUAUAUUGAACCGCAUGGUUCAAUAGUGAAAGACGGUUUUGCUAUCACUUAUAGAUGGAUCCGCGCCGCAUUAGCUAGUUGGUAAGGUAACGGCUUACCAAGGCAACGAUGCGUAGCCGACCUGAGAGGGUGAUCGGCCACCCUGGAACUGAGACACGGUCCAGACUCCUACGGGAGGCAGCAGUAGGGAAUCUUCCGCAAUGGGCGAAAGCGUGACGGAGCAACGCCGCGUGAGUGAUGAAGGUCUUCGGAUCGUAAAACUCUGUUAUUAGGGAAGAACAAAUGUGUAAGUAACUAUGCACGUCUUGACGGUACCUAAUCAGAAAGCCACGGCUAACUACGUG
rnacentral:rRNA from 1 species